UACGUAGGGUCCGAGCGUUGUCCGGAAUUAUUGGGCGUAAAGAGCUCGUAGGCGGUUUGUCGCGUCUGCUGUGAAAUCCCGAGGCUCAACCUCGGGUCUGCAGUGGGUACGGGCAGACUGGAGUGCGGUAGGGGAGAAUGGAAUUCCUGGUGUAGCGGUGGAAUGCGCAGAUAUCAGGAGGAACACCGAUGGCGAAGGCAGUUCUCUGGGCCGUAACUGACGCUGAGAAGCGAAAGCGUGGGGAGCGAACAGG
rnacentral:rRNA from 1 species